AGACACCGCAGCCCGGAGCAGGAAACGGCUCAGGCCUGCGGAGAGGAUGCGGGCGGCCGGGACCCUGAGCGCGGGGCUUCGCGGCUGGAUCCCACCGGGCGCGGGCAGCGGAGCCGGGCGUGCUGCAGUUCGCUGCCCCUCUCCGCAGGGCGCCGCGGCGCGCAGCCUGCGCCUCUCCACACCUGCAGCCCCUUCUCCCGCCGCUGCCUGGCGGAGAAAACGCGCCUCCUAGCCCUUCCCAGGCCUCUUUGGAUUCCGCCCCCCCUUCCUUCUCCCUGCUCCACCUCUUCCCUCCUCGGCCUCCGCGCCUCCCCUCCCCCGACUCUCCGGCCUCCCAUUCAUUCCAUCAGCUCCUUCCUAUUGCCUCUUUUCCGCUCGGUCCCUGUCCCCAGAGCCUCCCCCGCGUGGACACCGCUGCAGUGUCGGGGUUCUCAGCACAUUUAUGGAAGUUUAGGGCCUGGACAGUGGCCCCGAGUCCGGCCUAAGAGCGCAGCCUGGGCUGCUUGCCGGGAAGAGGAAGAUGUCUGUGCUCAGGCGGAUGAUGCGGGUUUCCAGUCGCUCCCUUCUCGCCUUCAUCUUCUUCUCCCUCUCUUGGUCCUGUCUGUACUUCAUCUAUGUGGCCCCGGGCAUCGCCAACACAUAUCUCUUUGUGGUACAACUCGAGAUAUAAUGUUGAGAGAAAAUGUGAAAACAAUAGGUCAUAUGAUCAGACUGUACACAAAUAAAAACAGUAUGCUCAACGGUACAGGAGGAUUCCUCAAUGUCAAUGUAAGUGAAAUAAGUUUUCAUGAAAUUCAUCAGCUCUUCUCCAAGGAUUUAGACAUCGACCAAGGGGGUCAUUGGAGGCCAAAAGACUGUAAACCCGGAUGGAAGGUGGCAGUUCUCAUUCCUUUCCGUAAUCGCCAUGAACAUUUCCAAUUUUUUUCUUACGUCUGAUUCCAUUGCUCCAGAAGCAAAGACUGGAAUUUGUCUUUUAUGUCAUUGAACAGACUGGCACACAACCUUUUAAUGCGAUGCUCUUCAAUGUGGCUUCAAAGAGGCCAUGAAAGACAGUAUUUGGGACUGUGUAAUCUUCCACGAUGUGGAUCAUCUACCUGAAAAUGACCGGAACUAUUACGGAUGUGGAGAAAUGCCACGUCCUUUUGCUGCAAAGCUGGAUAAAUACAUGUAUAUUCUUCCAUAUAAAGAGUUUUUUGGUGGUGUAAGUGGGCUGACAGUGUAACAAUUUAGAAAGAUCAAUGGUUUUCCUAAUGCCUUCUGGGGAUGGGGAGGAGAAGAUGAUGACCUUUGGAACAGAGUUCACUAUGCAGGAUAUAAUGUAACCAGACCAGGGGAGACUUAGGAAAAUACAAGUCAAUUCCUUAUCACCAUAGAGGUGAAGUCCAGUUUUUAGGACGGUGUAAACUACUAAGGUAUUCCAAGGAGCAUCAGUACAUCGAUGGGUUGAACAAUUUAAUAUAUAGGCCAAAAAUACUGGUUGAUUGGUUGUAUACAAACAUAUCUGUAAACCUCAUGCCAGAGUUAGCUCCAAUCAAAGACUAUUAAAAGAAGUGGCUCUCAUGGCAACAUAGACCACAAUGCUGGGUCAUAAAUUUGGAGUACACUCAUAGUGGAGGUCAGUGAUUGGCUGUGUCACAGUGCCCUUUUUUUCUGAGAAGAGCCAUCUGUCCUGAAUGUUUACAGAGUGGGACUAUAUACAGUCACCCUUCUCUCACCUGUCGUCCCUGCUCUGACACAUACCCCCAAGGUGAGCACCGCAGAAACUAGAAGCCACUACUUAAGAUUGGAAGUUAAGAGAGCUCCCUACGAAGAGAAAAUUUUUAUACUAAAAUCUAUAAUUUAAUUCAAGAGAAUGCUUUUAUUUCCAUUUAAACAUUUUGUAUAUAUGUAAUAUAAAUUAAUGUGUGCAAAUUGUUAAAAAAAAUAAGAUGUGUUGCAAUUUUGCAUGUAGUUAUAUCUUUAUUGGACUUUUAUGGACAUUUUUUUAUUUGCAUGAAAAAAACCUCACUAAAUUUAUGCCACUAAACAAAGUUUAACCCUUGUGUGAAAUGAAGGAACUGUCAGUAAUUGACAGCCAACUAAAACAGUAAACUGUUAUACUAGUUUUGAGCUUUAGACCUCAGCCUUUUGUGUGGACGAAGUCACAGCUUUCUUAGGCUUUAAAGGGAAAGAAGAAAGGACUUAAACAGCUUUUCUUCCUACCAGGAUUACCUAUGUUUUUCCUUGUUUGCAAUCUCAUCUGAUUUUGCUAGAAAUCACAACCAUAUUGUUUAUGCAUAUUGCAUGAGUAUUACCAAAAAAAUCUUAAAAGUUGUGAUGUGACAUGAUAUAAAGGACUUCUUUAUGUUAAA